rnacentral:rRNA from 1 species
AUUGAACGCUGGCGGCAGGCCUAACACAUGCAAGUCGAGCGGGGUUUUCGGACCUAGCGGCGGACGGGUGAGUAAUGCGUAGGAAGCUACCCGAUAGAGGGGGAUACCAGUUGGAAACGACUGUUAAUACCGCAUAAUGUCUACGGACCAAAGUGUGAGACCGUCGGGCCACAUGCUAUCGGAUGCGCCUACGUGGGAUUAGCUAGUUGGUGGGGUAGUGGCUCACCAAGGCGACGAUCCCUAGCUGGUUUGAGAGGAUGAUCAGCCACACUGGAACUGAGACACGGUCCAGACUCCUACGGGAGGCAGCAGUGGGGAAUAUUGGACAAUGGGCGCAAGCCUGAUCCAGCCAUGCCGCGUGUGUGAAGAAGGCCUUCGGGUUGUAAAGCACUUUCAGUAGGGAGGAAGGGUUAAGUGUUAAUAGUACUUAACUUUGACGUUACCUACAGAAGAAGCACCGGCUAACUCUGUGCCAGCAGCCGCGGUAAAAC